UACGUAGGGGGCAAGCGUUGUCCGGAUUUAUUGGGCGUAAAGAGCGUGUAGGCGGCCAUACAGGUCCGUUGUGAAAACUGGAGGCUUAACCUCCAGACGUCGAUGGAAACCGUAUGGCUAGAGUCCGGAAGAGGAGAGUGGAAUUCCUGGUGUAGCGGUGAAAUGCGCAGAUAUCAGGAGGAACACCGAUGGCGAAGGCAGGUCUCUGGGCCACUACUGACGCUGAGGCGCGAAAGCUAGGGGAGCAAACAGG
rnacentral:rRNA from 1 species